UUCUGUUUGGAUCUUUGACGUUGUUUUGCUUGGUGGCUGUCGACAGCCAGAUUUCAUUUUAAAACAUUAAUACAAACACUGCUAGUGUUGAUAUUUAUGCGUGAAACUGUGACGCACGGCAUGUUUGUGGAAGAAAGUGCGACCUCCAACCCAGCCUGCAAUGUUGCGAGGACCCACAGCAAUUUUGGACUAAUUAUAGGAUCCUUAGGAGGCACUGCUUAGCUGGACAAAUGUGCAUGAAGACAUGCAGUAAAGUAACAGGGCAGAUGGAGUACUGCUCUCCCGGUCCUUGGCCAGACGCAAAUCCACCGGGAAGUGCGUGGAUGUCGACAUCCACAAUUGAGCUUGCCAUCGUGACGAUAAUUAACUUGUGCAUUU